CCUACGGGUGGCAGCAGUGAGGAAUAUUGGUCAAUGGACGAGAGUCUGAACCAGCCAAGUAGCGUGAAGGAUGACUGCCCUAUGGGUUGUAAACUUUUUUUAUAUGGGAAUAAAAUGUUCCACGUGUGGGAUUUUGUAUGUACCAUAUGAAUAAGGAACGGCUAAUUCGGUGCCAGCAGCCGCGGUAAUACGGAGGUUCCGAGCGUUAUCCGGAUUUAUUGGGUUUAAAGGGAGCGUAGGUGGAUUGUUAAGUCAGUUGUGAAAGUUUACGGCUCAACCGUGGAAUUGCAGUUGAAACUGGCAGUCUUGAGUACAGUAGAGGUGAGCGGAAUACGUGGUGUAGCGGUGAAAUGCUUAGAUAUCGCGAAGAACUCCGAUUGCGAAGGCAGCUCUCUGGACUGCAACUGACGCUGAGGCUCGAAAGUAUGGGUAUCAAACAGGAUUAGAUACCCGAGUAGUC
rnacentral:rRNA from 1 species